GCCUGGGUGGCUCAGUCGGUUGAGCGUCCGACUUCGGUUCAGGUCAUGAUCUCUCGGUUCGUGGGUUCGAGCCCCGCAUCGGGCU
rnacentral:tRNA from 1 species